rnacentral:rRNA from 1 species
AGCGAACGUUGGCGGCGUGGCUUAGACAUGCAAGUCGAGCGGAAAGGCCCCGCAAGGGGCACUCGAGCGGCGAACGGGAGAGUAACACCUGGGUAACCUGCCCCGGAAACCGGGAUAGCCACUGGAAACGGUGGGUAAUACCGGAUGGUCCCCGCGCGUCGAUGACGUGCGGGGUAAAGGGACUUCUGUUCCGGGAGGGGCCCAGGCCCCAUUAGCUAGUUGGUGAGGUAACGGCUCACCAAGGCGACGAUGGGGUAGCGGGGCCUAGAGGGUAGGGUACCGACCCCGUCCCUACCUACGGGUACGGGGUACCGUAGGAACGAACCUACGUCCCGACCCGAACGUACCCUUACCCGGGUAACGGGGGCGGUCGUCGACGUACGGUCCGGAACGUAACUACUAACGGUCC